rnacentral:sRNA from 1 species
UUCAAUGGUCCUACGCACUCGUCAUAAGA